rnacentral:rRNA from 1 species
GACGGAGGGUGCUAGCGUUGUUCGGAAUCACUGGGCGUAAAGGGCGCGUAGGCGGCUCUUGGUGUCGGAGGUGAAAGCCCGGGGCUCAACCCCGGAGGUGCAUCCGAAACUCGGAGGCUGGAGGCCGGAAGAGGAGGGUGGAAUACCCAGUGUAGAGGUGAAAUUCGUAGAUAUUGGGCGGAACACAGGUGGCGAAAGCGGCUCUCUGGCCCGGUCCUGACGCUGAGGUGCGAAAGCGUGGGGAGCAAACAGG